GAGGUUGUAGUUCAAUGGUCAGAGCACCGGCCUGUCACGCUGGAAGUUGCGGGUUCAAGUCCCGUCAAUCUCG
rfam:Coccomyxa sp. C-169 plastid, complete genome.